CCCCUUAGAGUUUGAUCCUGGCUCAGAUUGAACGCUGGCGGCAUGCCUUACACAUGCAAGUCGAGCGGCAGCGCGGGGGCAACCCUGGCGGCGAGCGGCGGACGGGUGAGUAAUGCAUCGGAACGUGUCCUCUUGUGGGGGAUAACCAGUCGAAAGACUGGCUAAUACCGCAUGAGCUCGAGAGAGGAAAGCAGGGGACCCGCAAGGGCCUUGCGCGAGAGGAGCGGCCGAUGCCCGAUUAGCUAGUUGGUGGGGUAAUAGCCCACCAAGGCGACGAUCGGUAGCUGGUCUGAGAGGACGACCAGCCACACUGGGACUGAGACACGGCCCAGACUCCUACGGGAGGCAGCAGUGGGGAAUUUUGGACAAUGGGGGCAACCCUGAUCCAGCCAUGCCGCGUGUGUGAAGAAGGCCUUCGGGUUGUAAAGCACUUUCGGACGGAACGAAAUCGCGCGGGUGAAUAUCCCGCGUGGAUGACGGUACCGUAAGAAGAAGCACCGGCUAACUACGUGCCAGCAGCCGCGGUAAUACGUAGGGUGCGAGCGUUAAUCGGAAUUACUGGGCGUAAAGUGUGCGCAGGCGGCGUCGCAAGUCGAGUGUGAAAGCCCCGGGCUUAACUUGGGAAUUGCGCUCGAAACUACGGUGCUGGAGUAUGGCAGAGGAAGGUGGAAUUCCACGUGUAGCGGUGAAAUGCGUAGAGAUGUGGAGGAACACCGAUGGC
rnacentral:rRNA from 1 species